CUGCAUCGUUUUCCGCUAGAC
rnacentral:snRNA from 1 species